GGUGAACGCUAGCGGCAGGCCUAAUACAUGCAAGCCGAACGGUAACCCCGCAGCAAUGCGGGGCAAGAGUGGCGUAAGGGUGCGUAACACGUAUGCAAUCUACCCGCAACAGGAGGAUAGCUCCCCGAAAGGGGAAUUAACCCUUCAUGAGAUCACGGGAAGGCAUCUUCGAGUGAUUAAAUCUGAGGAGGUUGUGGAUGAGCAUGCGUCUGAUUAGCUAGUGGCGGGGUAACGGCCCACCAAGGCGAUGAUCAGUAGGGGAACUGAGAGGUUGAUCCCCCACACUGGCACUGAGAUACGGGCCAGACUCCUACGGGGAGCAGCAGUAGGGAAUAUUGGUCAAUGGGUGAGAGCCUGAACCAGCCAUG
rnacentral:rRNA from 1 species